rnacentral:rRNA from 1 species
AUUGAACGCUGGCGGCAUGCCUUACACAUGCAAGUCGAACGGUAACAGGUCUUCGGAUGCUGACGAGUGGCGAACGGGUGAGUAAUACAUCGGAACGUGCCUAGUAGUGGGGGGAUAACUACUCGAAAGAGUGGCUAAUACCGCAUGAGAUCUACGAUGAAAGCAGGGGAUCGCAAGACCUUGUGCUACUAGAGCGGCCGAUGGCAGAUUAGGUAGUUGGUGGGAUAAAAGCUUACCAAGCCGACGAUCUGUAGCUGGUCUGAGAGGACGAUCAGCCACACUGGGGCUGAGACACGGCCCAGACUCCUACGGGAGGCAGCAGUGGGGAAUUUUGGACAAUGGGCGAAAGCCUGAUCCAGCAAUGCCGCGUGCAGGAUGAAGGCCUUCGGGUUGUAAACUGCUUUUGUACGGAACGAAAAGCCCUGGGUUAAUACCCUGGGGUCAUGACGGUACCGUAAGAAUAAGCACCGGCUAACUACGUGCCAGCCGCCGCCGUAA